UACAGAGGGUGCAAGCGUUUUCCGGAAUCACUGGGUUUAAAGGGUGCGGAGGCGGCUUGAUAAGUCAGGGGUGAAAGCCCGCAGCUUAACUGCGGAUCUGCCUUUGAUACUGUCGAGCUUGGAAGAGGUUGAGGUCAGCGGAACGUGACAUGUAGCGGUGAAAUGCAUAGAGAUGAUACAGAACACCGACUGCGAAGGCAGCUGGCUGGACCUACUUUGACGGUGAGGCACGAAAGCGUGGGGAGCGAACAGG
rnacentral:rRNA from 1 species